UACGGAGGGGGUUAGCGUUGUUCGGAAUUACUGGGCGUAAAGCGCGCGUAGGCGGACCAGAAAGUUGGGGGUGAAAUCCCGGGGCUCAACUCCGGAACGGCCUCCAAAACUCCUGGUCUUGAGUUCGAGAGAGGUGAGUGGAAUUCCGAGUGUAGAGGUGAAAUUCGUAGAUAUUCGGAGGAACACCAGUGGCGAAGGCGGCUCACUGGCUCGAUACUGACGCUGAGGUGCGAAAGUGUGGGGAGCAAACAGG
rnacentral:rRNA from 1 species